UUAAAUUGAAGAGUUUGAUCAUGGCUCAGAUUGAACGCUGGCGGCAGGCCUAACACAUGCAAGUCGAACGGUAACAGGAAUCAGCUUGCUGAUUCGCUGACGAGUGGCGGACGGGUGAGUAAUGUCUGGGAAACUGCCUGAUGGAGGGGGAUAACUACUGGAAACGGUAGCUAAUACCGCAUAACGUCGCAAGACCAAAGAGGGGGACCUUCGGGCCUCUUGCCAUCGGAUGUGCCCAGAUGGGAUUAGCUAGUAGGUG
rnacentral:rRNA from 1 species